UUGAAUAAAUCUGGCGUGGUUGUUGCUGGCUUGUACGAGCAUGUGCACACCCGUCACCUUUAUCUUUCCACCUGUGCACACUCUGUAGGCUCUGGGAUCAUCUCUCGCGCACUUGUGCUGCGGAUGCGAAGGUUGUUGUGCCCUCACAGGCCAGCUUCCCUCGAAUGUCCCAGGUCUAUGUUUUAUUAAUACACCCCUGAAUGUUUAAAGAAUGUUGAUUUCAAAGGGCUUUGCCCAUACGAACUCAAUA
rnacentral:misc_RNA from 1 species